AUGAAAAAAUAAAUAUACCACAUAAUUUUUUUAAAAAAAAAUUCACAUUUAAGAGAAAAUCGUUAAAGAUUCUGAUCACUUUUCAUGCGCCCUCCAACCCGGAAGUGGUGACGUCAUGUCGUGAGCGUUCAUCUCAACAUGGCGGAUUACUGCACUUCGACGACAAGAAGUCUGAAAGUGAAAUUUCGACUUCAACUGAGCGAUUCCUACCAGGUGACGAUUCUGAUGUGUCUGAGGAAGAAUAUUUGUUUCUCGAGCCUCACAUGUUCGACCCAGACGUUUCAGAUGAAGAGAAGGCAGCGGACGAAAAACAGCCUUCCGAGUCGGACAAGGAGUGGAGAUUGGACGUCGGAAGAUUAGAUGAAUGGUGUUCAUAUUCUCACUGCCAAUAAUGGAUUCUGCGAGAGAGUGCAUCUGUUGCCAGAAAAUCGACUUGGUUGUUGCUAAGAUGGAAGAAGCCAGAGGAGAUGGAUGGAGAAAUCCCUGACUCAGACCAUCCUGGCAUGGAAGCUAUGUGACUAAAUGUUUGGACAUUGUAGGUUGCUUGGUCCCAAUACAAGCAACAGCAUAGGCAUAUAGCCUAUAGACAAUUUGUGACAUGGUGUUGGGACUAUUUAGGCAAAGAUGCCAGGGCUGUGAUACCCUCGUGUGCUGUCAGCUGGAUAAGGGCCCACUUCCCACCCCCAGGACAUGAAGAUGAUUUUACCUUUAGAGCUCACCUGUUGGCAGUUAAAAAAAAUACCCAAUUGUUGUGUUAUUAUGUAAUAUAAGCAAUUACUAAUAAAAUGAUUUCAUGGUC